UUAGCGCCAAAUGAAAAUGAGAUUAGAAAAAGUCAAAUGAAAAAAACACUCUGUUUCCUCCCUCUUUCUGUCUCUCUCUCACCUUGUUUCUUCCUAUCCCUAAUCUCUCAAAUCCAUAUUAUUAAUCACGCCUCAGCCUCUCUCUCUAACCCUCGGUUUCUCAGUUCCUGCUCCAUCUCUCUCUCUACCCCUCGGUUUCUCAGCCUCUCUCUCUCUCUCUCUCUCUCUCUCUCUCUCUCUCUGACAGAGUCUAUUGACUCUCUCUCCAUCACGUCUGCUCUGAAAUUCAACCAUGACCACAUCUAGCUAAAGUUGUUUAUUUAGGUGUUUACCUUUGAAAUCUGACCGCGAAAUUUCCUCAGCUCAUCUCCAAAAUCGCCGAUUCUAAUCUCCCAAUCGUUAUCAUCGACUAGAAUCGGAGCUUCGAUGGACUGUCUGGAAGAGAGCCGGCAGUACAGAACUACCAGAAUGUUGUCUCCGAGCAUGAAGGCCAAGAUUGUGAACCCUGAAACUGGUGAAGCUUUAUCGGUUAACCGGACCAACAAGCUUUGGUUGAGGGGUCCAACAAUCAUGAAAGGUUAUUUCAGCAAUGAAGAAGCAACUCAUCAACUAUUGACUCAGAAAGAUGGUUAAGAACUGGUGAUCUCUACUUUUGCAUUAUUCGUGAAAGUAUGGGAAGGCCUUACUUUUGCAUUGUAUUAGUGCAGAUGGCAUUUUUUGAAAGCAAGAAGGUUAAGUCAUUUGAAUCAACAGCUGAAGUAGAUGAGUGGCUGUUUUCUAAUCCUAUACUGACCCCCAGAGCCUUGCAUUUUGCUAAACUAAAUGCUACUAUAAUUAGCUAUGGUAUACAGACUAAUUCAACUCCAUUAGAAAAAAAAAGGGAACUAUGAAGACCCCACAUUCAAAUUUAAAAUACCACUUCAGAUUGCAGCAGAGCGUGAAAUUGCUAGGUCUCAUAGGAGAUCCAAACUUUAGCUGGAUGGUUUCAUUUAAGGAGUUUGCACACCCUAAUGUGCAAAGUCUCUCUGCAAUGAUUACCGUAGGACCACCAUUUUUUAUUGCAACUGUGAUGUUUCGUUUUGUACUUCAGAUGAGGAGUUUGGUGGUCGAGAAAGAACUAAAACUUCAACAGCGCCAGCACAAGAAAGUUAAGCAAUCAAUGAAAUGAUAUUGGGAGGAGUCUCUUCUGUGUAGUGAGUCCAGGGUUAAAGAAUGUCCGGGCCUUUACCUCUGCAUCGUGGCAUAUCUUCUGGGACACGAGGCUCUGGAGGGAGCAAUGAUUUCAGCGACUCUUAAAUGAAAGAUAAAACAGAAAAGGAUGGUUUGGAUAGAAGAGGUUCUUCUGAUCAGAGUGCCUUUGGGAUGAAUGUCUACAUUCCUGGAGUACUGGCUUGCAGUGCUCAUGUUGGAGCAUGUUGGUAUGAGUCACAGCGGUGCGAGUCAUGAUGCUCCGUCUUCCUCACACAAGUCACAUCGGUAUCUCCUCUGCCGGAAGGAAGAACCCAGGCAAGAACAUCUCGGUGAGGUUCCUCAAAUUUUGGUGAUCUUUAGCUUGGGGGAGUGAUAGCUAUUUAUGCUCACAACAAAGACAAGUGCACAAAGGAUGAUGAAUGGAAGAAUAGAGCAAGUUUCAUGCAUGGUUUACUUUUGUGUAUCUUGUAAUGUUUCUGUUUUUCAUUUUUGAAGUAAAAAAUAUUCAAGAUUAUAAAACUUUAUUAUGUUAUGCUUUCAAACUUAAGUUAGAAUUAAGAUCUCAUGAAGUAGACACAUUUAUUGUUUGAAUUAGUUAUUGUUCAAUGUAAUACUUAUAGUUUAUCAAUCAAUUGAGAAUUACAUUUUAUGAUUAA